CAGACUUUCUCUCUUUCCCUCCUUUGUAAUUAGCCAACCAAACACAGGAUGGAUUGAAUCCUCCCUUUCCCUCCCUUUCCUUCCAACCAAACAUGCCCUUAACCCUCCAAUGUCGUCAUCUUAAAUACCUAAAUUUAAAAGAGAAUGGCCGUCGUCCGAGAAUCUAAGCGCCCAAUUCUUCAACAGCGACUGGCUCCCAGAAAUCCGCCGUGGAGGCAAUACGUGCGAUAAUCUGCCUGACUUCUGCCCGUUCUAAUUUGUGCUUUCAGAUUGUCUCUGUUCGUGGUGAUUUCGGUUCUUUUCCUUCUUUUGUUUGAGUUAUAUUUGUUGAUGGGCCGAUAAUGUUGUUGAUGGGCCGAUAAUGUUGUUUGGUCCAGAAGUGAAGGAAUUUCUCCGGUUUGUUUGGGGAAUUCUCCACAAGGUUUCCCGUUUUCCUGAAUGUGCUGGUGUUUCUCUUCGUAGAUUUCAACGCUAGCUUCUCCUCAUUUCUUGUAAUAUUCACAUCAAUUUCAGUACAACCAGGAUUCUGGGAUUCUCCUUUGGUUAUGUCUCGUUUUCCCAAUUUCCAUGAAAUAUUGAGAAAAACUGGAACCUCUGUCGUCUUCGUCCUUUUAUUUUCCCUUCUCAAUGUUGCUUUUCUCCCAAAAUGCAACAACCUCGACUGAGAAGUCUAAAUAGAUUUGCUGUGUUAAUUCUGGCGGGUUCAUUCCGAACAGAGGUGCCAUGGUCCUCUACUUUCUCAGUAUUUAAUGGUGGAUUCAAAGAGGCAGAAGCCAUUGGUCAUUAGUUGUACAUCCCAAGAAGCAUAUCAAAGGCGUCUUACGGAGUUAUGUCUGACGAACCAGACCAGGAUCCUUUCUCUUAGAAGCACAUCUUCGGAAUCAGUGAAGACCGUCUUGAAGGAAGUCUGGUGUUGGUCUCCACAGCAGUUUUAGCUCCAUGAAGCCUCCCAGACGCAUUCUCGAGGCGGUUAGCCUUUGUUUCAAUAUAUGUUAACGUAGUUCAUUCUUGGUUAAUUGAGUUUUGGGCCAUUUUUUCGUUCCAUUAUUUCCCUUUUGGAGUGGUGAUGGCCUACCUCGUUUUAGUUGCUCAGUCUGCAGAAACUCUAGAUGCACCGACCUUCUGGAUGAUUUCUGUCUAAAUCUUCUCGACUGGAGCAGCAGCAACAUUGUAACAAUUGCUUUUGGGCAUUCCAUAUUUAUCUGGAAUGCAUCAGAUGGGACCGCACCUGAGUUGAUGUCCAGAAUGGCCUAUUUAUAAGCAUCAGUUGGGCUCCUCAUGGCAGGCAUAUUGCUAUUGGUCUCAAUUCUCAACAAUUCAGCAGUUCCUUGUGGCAUGCAUCAGUAGCUAAGCAGGUUUGGCUCGCCGUCUUCGGGUUUUCAAUGUGGUGUUCUGCUAGUAAGCAACGCUAUUUUGAGUUCUCCAUUGAGAAGAAAACAGCACAAAAAAAGUAAAGGAUUCAGGGACCUUUUUGCUUCUAUCUUUUGAAACAACUGGUUCCCCUGGAUAUUUUUUAGGAAUGAAGUUUUCCUUUUGAUUGGUUGGGUGAUAAGAAUAAUUCUUGGCUUAAAGUAGGACACGCUUUUUAUGAACGAGGAGUUUUGGGAAGAGGAGGCGUAACUAGCUUGUGUUCUUUACUGAAAUCUCGUAUCCCUUGCAAGUGGUAGAAGAGAUAGUUUCAUCUUUAAUUGGCAAAUAUAGUGCUCAUGACCAAGAAGCUUGUGGACUGAACUGGUGGAUCUCAGGCUGGCAAUUAGCCAGUGGAGGAAUUAAUGUCCUACUGUACAUAUGGGAUCGAGCAGCGGCAGCAAACCACUCUGCUAGAACACAGUGGCCGCAUAGAGCAAUGUGGUUUCCUGUUUGUAAUUUCUCUUGGGCUUUUGUUGUUACCUCUCUUUUUAUUGAUGAAAUAACCAUUGAUGUAGGCGCUCAAAUUUCUGAAGAGAGAACCCAAAGGACUGUUCUUUUUGUGGAAUCCUGCAUUAUCAAAACCAGUUCCAGAUUCAGUAGAUUCAGGUUGAUUUGAAUUGAAUCAGCAGCAAUCCUAUAUCACCUGACUUAGUUUUGCGCGUCUUCUUUUCCAAAUUUUGUGAUCAUUAUUUUUAUUUGUUGUUGUCAUGCUUAGUGACUUCGAAUCCAUAUUUUGUAGUUCCGAAUGCAUAUUUUGUAGUUCCGGAACAUGCUUGGGUGUCUCUUUUAGAUGUUCACUACUCUAAUUCAAUGUUUAGGUACUUAGUUUCAUGAUAUCAAUCACCACAUUAAAUGUGGUUGAUGUGGUAUUUUCAUAAUAUGUCUAGAAUAUAUUCUCUCAGAUAGUCAAGUUGUUCGUGUUAUUUCUGUACAUUUUUCCUAUCAAUACAUUUUGUUUCUGUUAUUUCAGCACAUUUGGGUUUAUUUGUUUUAUGUUGUCAAUCUUAUUUGCAGCCUUGUUGUCCCUUCUAGACUUGUUUUGCAGUAAGUUUCUUAUUUCAUCACAUUACUUUGUAGGGACCUCCUUUGCAACAGCUUGACAGGACACUUGGUUAGGCUGAAAGCCUGAAAUGCCCUCUUGUUUUUCCUGUUGGAAGGAAGCAGCCUAAGUGAGUCCUUCCUUGCGGUUGUUGAUUGUUGUUUUAUCCUUAAGUUCGUUGCAUGUGUUUAGCUAGGUUCACGAUAUGCUGAUGAGCUUUUGGGUACAAGAGUUGUGCAGGGCUCAUUUUUACAUUUAUUUUGCUAAUAGAAGGGACUCCCAUCCAAAUGGAUUAGUACUGAAUGCUGAUGCCUGUUCCUUUUUAACCUAUGCUACCUUAUCAGGCAUUUUUUAUAUCUUCCUACACUACUCAAAUAGCUACUGCACAAUUUAACGUUGAAGCAGUGAUGCCGAUGGUUCUAAUUGGCACCACUUCACCAGUAGGCACGUCAUUGUUCUUUUCAGACACUAUACACGCUAGAAAAUAGGGAUUUAGCAUUUUUAGCUGGAGUAUUAAUGCCAAAUCCCAGCAUAAUAUGGGUCGCUGGGUCUGGCUAUGGUGAGAAUGCAGUUCAGUCCAUGUGGAGCGAUUGAUAGUAUCUUUGCAAAAGGAAACCAAAUAGAAGAGCUUUUCACCAAUCUUUCUUCUGUGCACUUGACAAGGCUCCCUGAAGGCCUCCUCUCUCUUUGCUGGUUGUUGAAGGAUCUCCAAAGGUCCAAAGGUCUUUGCCUCAGAGAGAGACCUUUUCAAUCUUUAACAGGUUUUUUGACUAGUGUUGCUGCCCUUAUGUCAACUGCUUCAUCUGCUAGCCGCAAUCAUAACGUUAUGUUGGAUUAGCAUUGUAAAGAACAGAAGUUACCUACAUUAUAUCUUCUGGAUUGCAUUGCAGAGAACAUUGAUGGUGACUAUAUUAGGUAGUUUGCUAGUAUAUUUGCAGUUAAUUUAUGAGCAGCUACUUGCAAAUGCGUUUAUUGGUGAGCUACUGACACUAACUUUAUUUGCUGGUUGUUUUGGUGAUUAUGAUUUAGCUUUAUUGGUGGGAUUUGUGCUUCGUCUAUGAGCUGCAUUAGCCCAUGGUUGUAGCAUGCACAAACACUUGUUGCUUGAGAAUUCCAUCUUUCCGGCUUGCAUAUAUACUGCUGCGAUGGUAGCUUGUGGAUUCUUUGUAAGCUGUGACCAAAGAGUUAAAAUUUGUUGAUGUUUAUGGAGGUGGUGUGACUUGACAAUAAACAAUUACUUGGGCUUGGGCUGUUGGAGUGAGUGAAUGGUGAUUCUGGCUAACCAAAACUCACUCAGUUCAAUCAUAAGGUCCGUCAAACUAAUGCUACAUGAUAAAAAUGCAGAACAAGUCCUACAUAUGUUCGUAUAUCAGAUGGGUUUUCAAGCGCUGGAUACUUGUCUAUCUUCCUUUUGUUUCUCCUGAUCCAUUUCUGCUGUUGCAAGACUUCGCUUUGCUGCUUCCUUACCUUGCUCGACAGGUGAAGUUAAUUUGAUUGGCGGAGCAUAUUGAUUAUGAACGUUAUUCAGUCUUGCACAUGGACAGUAUAAUUGCUAUCCAGAAGCAUGACACCGGUUCAGCAACUAAAGUUCUUCGUAUAUCAAAGUAAAUCCGCAAAAGGGUGUUCUAUCAGAUUGAACUGAAGUGUAUCAUAAUUCACAGGUUUAUCAUGCAGGAUUGCUGGAAUUAUUUUUUUCUGCACGCAGUGGAAAAUGUGGAAUGUGUUUAAGAUCUACCCAUUUUUCUGAACUUUGAAAUUUUAACAUUUUUGUAAAUCUGAUGCUCACCUGAGGUAAUAAAACUGAUGUUUUAAUUUGCUCCA